rfam:[Candida] intermedia strain CBS 141442 genome assembly, organelle: mitochondrion
AGGCUAUUCGAUUAGGGGUGAAAUCGCAGUUUUUACACAGCUGAGCCAUAGGUUCGAAUCCUAUAUAGCCUA